GAGGCUGGCUCAGCAACUAGCUGUAGGUAGGAGCCAGGCGGAGAAGGGUUUCUAAGGGGGUGGGAAGAAACUUCUUGGGAGAUGCAGAGGCCAAGUAGGUGAGCUGCUUGCUAUGCAGCCCCUCUGAGAAGCAGGAUUCUACCUCAACCUUUGAAUCAUGAGUUCUUUAGCGGGACAGAGAUUUAAAUAAGUUUCCUUCAUAGCCCUGAAAGAGUCAUGCCUGAGAGAACAGAAUUCCCCCAGGCUUCGGCUCUUGCAGCCUAGCCGCUGCUGGUAGUUGCUGAGUAGGGUAGCCGUAGCAUAGAAGGCCAAAAAAUAAAAACAAUAGGGAUUUGGAUAAAGGAUUUAACAAAAACAGGAGCAGUUAGUUGUUCGGGAGCAGGAAUACAAUAAGGAUGUGUGAGCUCCUGACCUGAAUGACUGAAGAGAAGCUCUCUGUGAUGCCCCAACACUUGAGACAUAACAGCAGAUUAGGAUCUUGGGAUUCAGGAACCAGACUGCUAAG